rnacentral:rRNA from 1 species
UACGAAGGGGGCUAGCGUUGCUCGGAAUGACUGGGCGUAAAGGGCGCGUAGGCGGUUCAUACAGUCAUACGUGAAAUCCCUCGGCUUAACCGGGGAACUGCGUCUGAUACUGGAUGGCUUGAGUUCGGGAGAGGGAUGCGGAAUUCCAGGUGUAGCGGUGAAAUGCGUAGAUAUCUGGAGGAACACCGGUGGCGAAGGCGGCAUCCUGGACCGAUACUGACGCUGAGGAGCGAAAGCCAGGGGAGCAAACGGG